CGCACGGGUGCGUAACGCGUGGGAAUCUACCCUUAGGUUCGGAAUAACUCAGAGAAAUUUGAGCUAAUACCGGAUAAUGUCUUCGGACCAAAGAUUUAUCGCCUUUGGAUGAGCCCGCGUAAGAUUAGCUAGUUGGUAGGGUAAAGGCCUACCAAGGCGACGAUCUUUAGCUGGUCUGAGAGGAUGAUCAGCCACACUGGGACUGAGACACGGCCCAGACUCCUACGGGAGGCAGCAGUGGGGAAUAUUGGACAAUGGGCGCAAGCCUGAUCCAGCAAUGCCGCGUGAGUGAUGAAGGCCUUCGGGUCGUAAAGCUCUUUUACCAGGGAUGAUAAUGACAGUACCUGGAGAAUAAGCUCCGGCUAACUCCGUGCCAGCAGCCGCGGUAAUACGGAGGGAGCUAGCGUUGUUCGGAAUUACUGGGCGUAAAGCGCGCGUAGGCGGCUUGCCAAGUCAGGGGUGAAAUCCCGGGGCUCAACCCCGGAACUGCCCUUGAAACUAGCAGGCUAGAAUCUUGGAGAGGUCAGUGGAAUUCCGAGUGUAGAGGUGAAAUUCGUAGAUAUUCGGAAGAACACCAGUGGCGAAGGCGACUGACUGGA
rnacentral:rRNA from 1 species